rnacentral:rRNA from 1 species
UCGAGCGGUCGGAUAAAGGCGCCGGGAAUGUAGCUCCUCUCGGGGAGUGUUAUAGCCCGGCGUGGAAUGCGACCUGCUCGGACUGAGGAUCUCGCUUCGGCUAGGAUGCUGGCGUAAUGGUUGUAAGCGGCCCGUCUUGAAACACGGACCAAGGAGUCUAACAUCUAUGCGAGUGUUUGGGUGUCAAACCCAUGCGCGUAAUGAAAGUGAACGGAGGUGGGAACCCGCAAGGGCGCACCAUCGACCGAUCCUGAUGUCUUCGGAUGGAUUUGAGUAUGAGCAUAGCUGUUGGGACCCGAAAGAUGGUGAACUAUGCCUGAAUAGGGUGAAGUCAGAGGAAACUCUGAUGGAGGCUCGCAGCGGUUCUGACGUGCAAAUCGAUCGUCAAAUUUGGGUAUA